UCAAGAGUUGGAUGCUUAGCCAUCUGAGCCACUCAGGUGCCCCAAAGUUUGUUUUUAAAUGAAUAUUAACUCUCUUUUUGUGGAUAAAAAUUAGGACUUCCAAUCUACAUCUUGACAAUGAAUCAGGAAUAAAAUUGAGAAGAAAGAUCUGUUUUCCCCUGUAUUUAACCUUAAAGAUGAGUUACUUAUUAUUUUUUGACUAUUUUAUUACUUCUGUAAAAUAAUUACACAUUAUAAAAAACUCAAAUAAUACAGAGAAAGAAAUAAGCAUCUGAAACUCAACAGUUCAGAGACAAUUACAGAUGACAUUAUUUGAGAUAUUACAUAUGCAUACAACACGUGGAAAUAUGUAUGCAUUUUACAUAAAUGGGUUCAUACCAUUCAUUUUACUCUGAAAGUUGCUUCCUUCCUCUAACCCCCAUCUGCUGCAUGUAGUGGAUGUUUUUCCAUUUAAAGAGGAAAAGGAUCUACACUGAUUUUAAUAGCGGUACACAUGAUCAUUUUCCUGUAUCAUGAUGUGCUUAACAAGGCAUCUAUUCAUGGCGAUGUACAUUUCUAAUUUUUCCAUAUUAUAAUCUGUGUUUAAUAAAUAGUCCUGAGCAUGGUUUUGUUCUUUUAUCCUUUUAAAACAGUUCCUUGGGUAAAUUCUUAAGAAUGGGUGUGGUGGAUUGUCCCAGCGUCUGGAUGUUUGGCCUCCUCACUGCAUCUGUACCCUUUGCCAUGUUACUUUCCAGCACUUUUCCUUGUGAGCAGGGUGCCACGUCCCAGCUUUGGGCUCCGGUGACUCGCCUUGGUCAACGGGAUGUUAGAAACGUGGUGCAAGCAGAGUCCCAAAGGUGUUUUUGCAAUUGAGUUGCUGCCGUCGCCAUGAGAAGGACAUUCCGAGCCAGCCUGCUGGUUCCGGGAGAGUGAAAGCAGAACGAGCCCAGCUGUCAACUGGGAACCAGGCAAACAAUACACUACUGGAAGAGAAUUAGCACAUCUGCCUAGAGUCCCUUAGUUAAUGAUUCUUCCUCCACCAAACUUUUCGUUAGAAUAUCAAAGGCAGUGGAUGGGGGAAACGGUGCAUUUCUGAGUCUACUAGAGGUGAUAAUUGUAAAUGACAUGGCCUCAAUAUUACAAGCUAUAGAUAGAGGUAAUUUUCAAAAUCAUUCCUUUAACUCCAGGUACUGAUUAUCUACUGCUAUAUAAUAAGCCACUCCAAAACAUACAACUUAAAAUAACAAUUUAUUAUUAUCUCUCAUGGUUUUGUG